rnacentral:rRNA from 1 species
CCUACGGGAGGCUGCAGUGAGGAAUAUUGGUCAAUGGACGCGAGUCUGAACCAGCCAAGUAGCGUGAAGGAUGACUGCCCUAUGGGUUGUAAACUUCUUUUAUAUAGGAAUAAAACGAGGCAUGCGUGCCUUCUUGUAUGUACCAUAUGAAUAAGGAUCGGCUAACUCCGUGCCAGCAGCCGCGGUAAUACGGAGGAUCCGAGCGUUAUCCGGAUUUAUUGGGUUUAAAGGGAGCGUAGGUGGAUUGUUAAGUCAGUUGUGAAAGUUUGCGGCUCAACCGUAAAAUUGCAGUUGAUACUGGCAGUCUUGAGUACAGUAGAGGUGGGCGGAAUUCGUGGUGUAGCGGUGAAAUGCUUAGAUAUCACGAAGAACUCCGAUUGCGAAGGCAGCUUACUAGACUGCAACUGACACUGAUGCUCGAAAGUGUGGGUAUCAAACAGGAUUAGAUACCCGAGUAGUC